ACGGGUGAGUAAUAUAUCGGAACGUGCCCAGUUGUGGGGGAUAGCCCGGCGAAAGCCGGAUUAAUACCGCAUACGACCUGAGGGUGAAAGCGGGGGAUCGCAAGACCUCGCGUAAUUGGAGCGGCCGAUAUCAGAUUAGCUAGUUGGUGGGGUAAAGGCCUACCAAGGCGACGAUCUGUAGCUGGUCUGAGAGGACGACCAGCCACACUGGGACUGAGACACGGCCCAGACUCCUACGGGAGGCAGCAGUGGGGAAUUUUGGACAAUGGGCGCAAGCCUGAUCCAGCCAUGCCGCGUGCGGGAAGAAGGCCUUCGGGUUGUAAACCGCUUUUGUCAGGGAAGAAACGGUCUGAUCUAAUAAAUUGGACUAAUGACGGUACCUGAAGAAUAAGCACCGGCUAACUACGUGCCAGCAGCCGCGGUAAUACGUAGGGUGCAAGCGUUAAUCGGAAUUACUGGGCGUAAAGCGUGCGCAGGCGGCUAUGCAAGACAGAUGUGAAAUCCCCGGGCUCAACCUGGGAACUGCAUUUGUGACUGCAUGGCUAGAGUACGGUAGAGGGGGAUGGAAUUCCGCGUGUAGCA
rnacentral:rRNA from 1 species